GACGAACGCUGGCGGCGUGCUUAACACAUGCAAGUCGAACGGAAAGGCCCCCUUGUGGGGUACUCGAGUGGCGAACGGGUGAGUAACACGUGAGUAACCUACCCUUGACUUUGGGAUAACUUCAGGAAACUGGGGCUAAUACCGGAUAGGAGCUCCUGCUGCAUGGUGGGGGUUGGAAAGUUUCGGCGGUUGGGGAUGGACUCGCGGCUUAUCAGCUUGUUGGUGGGGUAGUGGCUCACCAAGGCUUUGACGGGUAGCCGGCCUGAGAGGGUGACCGGCCACAUUGGGACUGAGAUACGGCCCAGACUCCUACGGGAGGCAGCAGUGUGGAAUAUUGCACAAUGGGUGGAAGCCUGAUGCAGCAACGCCGCGUGCGGGAUGACGGCCUUCGGGUUGUAAACCGCUUUCGCCUGUGACGAAGCGUGAGUGACGGUAAUGGGUAGAGAAGCACCGGCUAACUACGUG
rnacentral:rRNA from 1 species